UUUCCUUUUUUUUUUCAACAUGCAGGUUUUAUUUUAUAUAAACACAUAAAACCAUUUUUUCCUGAACCCUUACAUUAAAAAAAAAAAAAAAGCAAACAAAACAAAUGUGUAGAUUCAAUAGAUGCAGCAGGAUUCACAUAACACAAUUUGAUCAUUAGUAAGGGGUUAGAGAUCAUAGAACUACAACUGUUGGCAUGACUUGAAAACUUUCUGCAAUGAAAUAACUGAACACACAAAUAUACAACUAUGUUCAACAACAAGGCAUGACCACUAUUAAUUAUUCAAAACCAUUUUCACUUCAAAAUGACAAGGUGUGAUAUCACACAAUCAUGUACACACACAAAUCACUAGUUAGUAUUAAAAAUAAAUAUUUAGUUAAAAUGAAACACUUUUUAACCACUUGCUGUUCAUAACAGGAAAGAAAAAAAAAUUAUGAUAAUAAAAGGCACAUAUUAAAAAAAAUCAUUAACAAGUGGGUUAUUUUGAGAAUCACUGAAUACAUAAGUGACUACUGAAACAACAUGAGGACCACUAGACCUGACCCAAAUUUAUUUUUAAUUAUAUUAACUUUGACCAAACACAGCUAGGUAAGCAAUUGUACAACUGGGAUAAAGUUUUAAUAAAUAUUAAUAUGUCAAUAAUUAUUGUAUACUGGUAAGUAAACACAAGCAAUUCAAUUGUUUUAAAUGAGCAUCAAAGCCAGAUGUAUAUACAUACAUUAAAUAUUAUGAAAAUAUGCUUCACAUGACUAUUCUAAAUAUCACAUGCACUUGAAGGUACUGUCAAACAAACAAAAACCAGUUAAUACAACAUAUCAUGUACAAAUUCUGCUUAAUUCAAGAUAAACAACAACUAAAAAAAUUAAGUUACUCUUUUUUAUGGAGGGGGGGGGGGGGGGG